UGGGGAAUAUUGGGCAAUGGGGGAAACCCUGACCCAGCAACGCCGCGUGAGGGAAGAAGGUUUUCGGAUUGUAAACCUCUGUCCUUGGUGAAGAAAGAGAUGACGGUAGCCAAGGAGGAAGCCCCGGCUAACUACGUGCCAGCAGCCGCGGUAAUACGUAGGGGGCGAGCGUUGUCCGGAAUGACUGGGCGUAAAGGGCGUGUAGGCGGCCGAUUAAGUCCGGAGUGAAAGUCCUGCUUUCAAGGUGGGAAUUGCUUUGGAAACUGGUUGGCUUGAGUGCGGAAGAGGUAAGUGGAAUUCCCAGUGUAGCGGUGAAAUGCGUAGAGAUUGGGAGGAACACCAGUGGCGAAAGCGGCCUCCUGGACCAUUCCUGACACUCAGACGCGAAAGCUAGGGUAGCAAACGGG
rnacentral:rRNA from 1 species